CGACUUUGAAUCUUAUUGUAAUUCCGACCCAAUUUUCUGGGUAUCCAAUAGGAAACGCUGGUGUUGCGAGAUUAAGGGGAAGGGAAAACCGGCAAAUUAGACCACGAAUCUGUACUAAUGCUUUCUGUUUAUAAGCAGAAGCUCAAACAGGAAGUACCCGUGACUUGCUUCUUUGAGAAAUUGACAUCAUAAUCAGAGAUUAUGCUACAGGACUGCUUUGCUAGCGCUGAUUGGAAUAUGUUCCGAGACGCCGAUGACAACAUCGAGUUAACCACCUCCUUCACUGACUUCAUUUGGAAAUGCAUCGGUGACAUUAUCUCCACAGUGAUGGUUCGCUGCUUCCCCAAUCAAAAGCCUUGGAUUAACACAGAGGUUGGCGCUAAACUAAGGGCCAUCGCAGACAACUCUGAGGCUACGGCUGAGGACAGGAACAAGUACAAGAAGUUUCGCUAUGACAUCUGCAGCAUCAAACGAGCAAAAGGACAAUAUAACAAUAAGGUGGAAUCGUAUUACAUAGGUGCCGAUGCCCCCCACCGGUAUGUGGCAGGGGCUACAUUCCAUUACGUAUUACCACGGAAGACCCAGCCAUGAUCUGCCUAACUAUGCCGCUCUACCAGCCGACAAUAAAACUGUCACGCGUCAUUUCAAUCUCUCCUUGUCCCAGUCUGUAAUCCUCCCAUGUCUUAAGCUGACCACCAUCAUUCCUGUUCCCAAGAACUUUAAGGCUUCAUGCCACAAUGACUACCGCCCUGUAGCACUCACAUCUGUAAUCAUAAGGCACUUUGAAAGGCUGGUUAUGCCAUACGUCAACCGCAUCAUCUCAGACACCCUAGACCCACUCCAAUUUUCAUACCACCCCAACAGAUCCAUAGACGACGCAAUCUCAGUUGCACUCCACACUGCCCUGACCCACCUAGAAAAGAGGAAUACCUAUGUAAGAAUGCUGUUCAUUGACUACAGCUAAGCAUUCAACACCCUUGUCCCCUCCAAGCUUGUCACCAAGUUUAGGACCCUGGUACGCCCUCUGCAACUGGAUCCUGGACUUCCUGAUGGGCCGAGCCCAGGUGGUGAGGGUAGUCAGCAUCACCUCCGCCACGCUGACCCUCCUGUAAUCCCCUGUUCACCCACGACUGCUGGCUACGCACGACUCAAGCACCAGCAUCAAGCAGAUGCGGUGCGACUUGACUUUUGCCAUCAGGUGGAAGACGGUGUCCCCUCUCUCUGGUCAGUCUCACCGGAGGAAAGGAAGGAGAGAGCAGGGACGUGAAAGACGGACCCUCUGCUGUUCUCUCCCUCUCUCCAUUGACACUAAUGCCGUAUUCAAGACAACUGGGAACUCGGGGGGGGGAACUAGAUCCACCUGGGAAGAAUCGUUUUGAACGGUCAUCCAGCUCGGAAUUCCAAGAAGGAAACUCUGGCAUCUUUCUAGACCUCUGAUUUUCCAACCUGAAGAUCACUGACGUCAUGACUUGACGUCGUUUUUUUACGGGUCCCAGCUGUCUUGAAAGCACCAUGACCAUCGGAUGCAGGUACCAUCAGUCCAGUAAAUAAAAAAGCUAUUUGCUAAUUAUUUCAAUUUAUGCUCAACUAUGUCUUUCAAGUGCUACAUCAACUGAUCUAUUUUGUAAUCAAAGCUUGAGUUUUGAAAUAUAAUAUGGUCUGAGAAGAAUAAUAUUGGCAGGCCAGGCAUAUAGCCAAUAUGCUAUGAUAAUGUAUUAGGCCUACUGCACAAACCCCA
rnacentral:lncRNA from 1 species